CAAGGGCCUGGUCCCGGCCCUUUUAUUGGCUGUUUCUAAAAUUAUACAUGUAAGAAUCCCCACCCCAGUGAAAAUGCCCUUUACUUUAAACUAAAGAUGAGGAGCAGGUAUCAGGCGCACAGCUGUUGCCCACUACACCUUGCUAUGCCACACCCCCACGGGUAAUCAACAGUAAUUAGUAUUGAGAAAUGAUUGAAAAAUCGACUCAGCUAUAGAUAACAGAGUUGGUAAAUUUCGUGCCAGCCACCGCGGUUAUACGUAAAACUCGAGUCAAUAACCUUCGGCGUAAAGAGUGGCCUGAGAAAUUCAAACUAAAGCAGAACUACUUAUGAGGUGUUAUACCCCUAAUAAGAAAAGAAAAUCAUUGCGAAAGCAGCUUUAAAACUUGAACCCACGAAAAUUAUGAAACAAACUAGGAUUAGAUACCCUACUAUGCAUAAUCUUAAACUAAGGACUACCCUUACUAUAGUCUCGCCAGGGAAUUACGAGCACUAGCUUGAAACCCAAAGGACUUGGCGGUGCUUAAGACCCACCUAGAGGAGCCUGUUCUAUAAUCGAUACCCCACGUUAAACCUCACCCCAUCUCGUCAUAUCCGCUUGUAUACCGCCGUCGUCAGCUUACACUGUGAAGCAUCUAUAGUAAGCAGAAACGCCACCCUCAAACGUCAGGUCAAGGUGCAGCUAAUGUUGGGGAAAGAAAUGGGCUACAUUCACUUCUGAGUGAAAACGAAUGCAGUACUGAAACAAAAGCUGAAGGAGGAUUUAGAAGUAAGGUCGAAAAGAAUAUCCGCCUGAACCCGGCUCUAAAGCGCGCACACACCGCCCGUCACUCUCUCUUAACUUUAAUUUACCUUAACUAAAACCACUAAUAACUAAAGAGAGGCAAGUCGUAACAUGGUAAGAGUACUGGAAAGUGCUCUUGGUAAAC
rnacentral:ncRNA from 1 species